rnacentral:rRNA from 1 species
GGGGUACUCGAGUGGCGAACGGGUGAGUAACACGUGGGUGAUCUGCCCUGCACUUUGGGAUAAGCCUGGGAAACUGGGUCUAAUACCGGAUAGGACCACGGAUCGCAUGGUCUGUGGUGGAAAGCUUUUGCGGUGUGGGAUGGGCCCGCGGCCUAUCAGCUUGUUGGUGGGGUGAUGGCCUACCAAGGCGACGACGGGUAGCCGGCCUGAGAGGGUGUCCGGCCACACUGGGACUGAGAUACGGCCCAGACUCCUACGGGAGGCAGCAGUGGGGAAUAUUGCACAAUGGGCGCAAGCCUGAUGCAGCGACGCCGCGUGGGGGAUGACGGCCUUCGGGUUGUAAACCUCUUUCACCAUCGGCGAAGCC